UACAGAGGUCUCGAGCGUUUGUUCGGAUUCAUUGGGCGUAAAGGGCGCGUAGGCGGCGGGGUAAGUCUGGUGUGAAAUCUCGGAGCUCAACUCCGAAAUUGCACUGGAUACUGCUCUGCUAGAGGGCUGGAGAGGAGAUCGGAAUUCACGGUGUAGCAGUGAAAUGCGUAGAUAUCGUGAGGAAGACCAGUGGCGAAGGCGGAUCUCUGGACAGCUCCUGACGCUGAGGCGGCGAAGGCUAGGGGAGCAAACGGG
rnacentral:rRNA from 1 species